rnacentral:lncRNA from 1 species
GAAUUCUCUUUGGAAAGCGUUGAGGGUGACCUAUUUGAAGAUAUAAGAGCAUCAAUCCAUAGAUCCUGUGGCACUUUUACAACCGCAAGUUGCGAAUCAAUUUAUGGGAAAGCAGGUGAUUAUAUUGCAAAUUCACUAUUUGAUUUUUAAGAUAAGAACAUGGUAUUAUGUCUGUUAAUAUUGUAUGCCUUUUUCUUUUGGGGGAGUGGGGGAAGCCACUGGACAAAAAAACUAUUAUAAUUUAUGUGUAUUAUACCUAUGCUUGCUAACGUAUCUAAGAGUGCUCUUCUGGUAGCUAGUUUAUGUGAUUGUGCAUCCUGAUCUUUCUGAUGUGGUUGCUUCUUUUCAGCCUCCAAGAAGGUUAAUGUUAGUUCUCAGAACAUGGUAUGUGGCAUUUAUCAUACUGUUUUUGUAACGGUUUUGGAUGUUUAGGAUGAAAGUCUCUCAUCUUUCAAAUUUUCAGAUGAAAUCUAUGCCACCUUCUAAAAGGCAAAGCAUCAAUUGUCAAAGAUCAAAGACAAUUAAAGAGGCUUCUCUUCCUCCACAAAGUUUACAGGUAUGAAUUAAUUGAAUAGAAUCAAAUGAUUACCUUUGGUUUCAUGGAUGCACACAGCUUAUAGAUGCAUUCACUUCUGAAUUUGCGCAACUUUGUUAAUUAUUAGAGAUUAUUAAUUGUAUUUGUAGAGCUAGGUUGCUCCUUUUAGGUGGUUGUGCAUGAUGCAUAAGAAAUGUGUUACAGAAAAUGUCAAUAUAAACUGUAAUAUGGACUAACCGACUAUUGUUGAUUUUCAAAGCACAAUGCUAGAAAAGGGGAAUACUACUCGUCGCCCCACAUGCCACCCAAGAUAUUAGGCAGACUAAAUGUCGUAUCAGCAGGACAAACCAAAAGGGUGUCGUCGGGCUAUGGGAGAAUAGAAAAUAGGACCUCAAAGGCUUGUUAUGGUGAGAGAAUUUGAAUACAUAUUGAUAUAUAAACCUCUUUGUUGCAGCUUCUAAAUGAAAAAUUGGAAUAAAGGCAAUUUGAUUGUUGCAGGACAAAGUUUGAUGAUGCCUGAGCAAUCUGGUUCUGAGGACUCAUGUAAUUUUAACAAAUUCUCUACGCCACCCACAAAAUCAUCUU